rnacentral:misc_RNA from 1 species
AUCGUCGUCCCCCUCUUCAUCCAUUGCUGAGAUGGGACGGAAACUGGUCUCCCGUGUGUUACCGCACGCGGUUGGCCAAAAUUCGAGCCAAGGAUGCUGGGAGCGUCCCGACAUGCGGUGGUGAACUCAAAACCUUCAUACCGUCGAUCGCUCCUGUCCGAAAGCUCUAGAUGACCCAAAGUCUUAA